rnacentral:sRNA from 1 species
AAGGUUGUCAAGGGAGCGGUUGGCCACACCCUUUUUGAAAGGGGGUGGUAUGAUGACAAUAUUUGAGGCAAUGUAUCUGAUGAUCGCAUUUGCAACACUUGUUGUUUUAAUCAUAAAACGAAAAUAACCGCCCCUAGCCAAGGACUGCGGUUAUUUCGUAAAUAAUCAAAACUGAGGCUAACCGUUUCCGGUUAGACAACCUAUGGGGCUGGCGUGCUAGCAACACGUCAG